UGAAUGGACAGAGGCUUGCCAGCAAGCAUUCCAGACGCUCAAGACUGAGCUCACCACAGCGCCAGCCUUAGCCCUGCCUGACUUAAAUAAACCUUUCACCUUAUAUGUGGCAGAGAGGAACGGGGUGGCAAAAGGAGUGAUCACACAGUCUUUGGGGCCUUGGAAGCGACCUAUAGCCUAUCUGUCCAAAAGACUUGACCCAGUGGCCAGAGGAUGGCCGUCCUGUUUAAGGACGAUAGCUGCGGCUGCUGCUUUAACUCGGGAAGCUGAUAAACUGACUUUUGGCCAGGAUCUAACUCUGAUCACUCCUCAUGCUAUUGAGCCCCUGUUGCACAACUCACCAAGUAGAUGGCUAUCAAAUGCUAGAUUGUUGCAGUACCAGGGACUCUUGUUAGAACAGCCGCCCAUUAAAUUUGCCACAACCUCUAACCUGAAUCCUGCUAGCCUGCUCCCUGAAUCAGAUGAUCAACUGCCCAUCCAUGACUGCCUUGAGACUCUCGAAAAUCUGCGGGGAGGACGUCCAGAUCUGACGGACCUGGCCCUCCCCCGACCUGAGGCAACAUACUACACUGAUGGAUGCAGUUUCGUACGUGAAGGUGUGCGAUAUGCGGGAGCAGCAAUAGUCAAUCAGGAUCAACAGGUAAUAUGGGAACAAGGGCUGCCCCAAGGGACGUCAGCACAGAAGGCCGAACUAAUCGCUUUAACUAAGGCUCUGGAAUUAGGAAAAGGGAAAAAGAUAAAUAUUUUCACUGACAGUCAUUAUGCUUUUGCUACUGCCCAUGUACAUGGAGAAAUUUACCAGAAUAGAGGACUUUUAACAUCAGACGGGAAAGAAAUUAGAAACAAAGCUGAGAUAUUGGCUCUGCUGCAAGCCAUUUGGCUGCCAAGGGAGGUUGCCAUUAUUCACUGCCGUGGACAUCAAAGGAAUUCCAGCCCUGAAGCGAUUGGAAACAACGCAGCUGACCAGGCAGCAAAGCAAGCUGCCCAAAAAUCAGUGGGGAAACAAAUGGUGCUGCUACCUACACCCAUGCUCCCAGAAAAGCCUGAAUACACAGAGGAAGAAAUAACGGAGAUGAGUAAGAACCACUGGACCAGAGGAAAACAUGGAUGAUGGACAACAGAUGAAGGAAAGAUCAUUCUGCCAGCUGCGGUGGCUGACACUUUGCUGAAUGAGCUCCAUGAAUCCACCCACCUAGGAGACAAGAGAAUGAUGGCCCUGCUACGGCCCCACUUUGUCAGCAGAGAAUUAGCCCAGAAGGCCCGGGACAAAGUGAGACGGUGCCCCACCUGCCUCAAGGUUUGACUCCAAAACCUUGGAACCACGGUGGAAGGGGCCUUUUCCAGUUGUCCUGUCUACUCCUCUGGCUGUGAAGGUUGCGGGACACCCGACGUGGAUCCAUCGCAACCACCUUAAGCCCGGCCUGGACAACAGCCCAGAGGCAUACGGAAAAUGGAGCGUCAUCAGCAAACCCGGAGAAUUGAAAGUAAAACUCCGCUCAACUGGACCUUCAUUAUGAUCUGGGUGAUUUCCCUUGGGACAAUAAUAGCGUUGUCCAGAGAGAACUUAGGUCAUACUAAAAACGUUUGGGUGCAAUUAGCUGAAUCCUUAAAUUUGUCUGAAAUAUGUUUAAAUGCUGAUGUGAAUUUUCAUUAUGUGCUUGGAAGUUGUUUGGUUCCAGUAUGCACCCCACUUGAAAGUAUUAGACCAUAUACUAUGUUUAAAAAUUUCCCACAAGUAAAUCUCAGUUAUUUGGAUAGUUACAAUUGGGGACAGGUGACAUGUUACAAACCAAAGAAUGCUAUUAAGCUAUAUACCCCUCGAGUAGCUAUGUCCAAUAAGACUCUCUGUGCCAAAUAUAAAGGUUGUACUUCCCAGUGUUUAAAUCUUAAACAAACA